rnacentral:rRNA from 1 species
CAUGCAAGUCGAACGCGGUUUUUCCCGCAAGGGAAGAACUGAGUGGCAAACGGGUGAGUAACACGUGGGUGACCUGCCUUCGAGUGGGGGAUAACGUCUCGAAAGGGACGCUAAUACCGCAUAACAUCCUGUCUUUUAAGAGAUUGACAUCAAAGCCUGGGACCGCAAGGCCAGGCGCUUGAAGAGGGGCCCGCGUCUGAUUAGCUAGUUGGUGGGGUAAUGGCUCACCAAGGCAACCAUCAGUAUCCGGCCUGAGAGGGCGGACGGACACACUGGGACUGAGACACGGCCCAGACUCCUACGGGAGGCAGCAGUGGGGAAUUGUUCGCAAUGGGCGCAAGCCUGACGACGCAACGCCGCGUGGAGGAUGAAGAUUUUCGGAUCGUAAACUCCUUUCGAUCGAGACGAAUGGCCUUCGGGUUAAUAGCCUGGAGGAAUGACGGUACCGAGAGAAGAAGCCCCGGCUAACUCCGUGCCAGCAGCCGCGGUAAUACGGGGGGGGCAAGCGUUGUUCGGAAUUACUGGGCGUAAAGGGCUCGUAGGUGGCCAACUAAGUCAAACGUGAAAUCCCUCGGCUUAACCGGGGAACUGCGUUUGAUACUGGAUGACUUGAGUUUGGGAGAGGGAUGCGGAAUUCCAGGUGUAGCGGUGAAAUGCGUAGAUAUCUGGAGGAACACCGGUGGCGAAGGCGGCAUCCUGGACCAAUAC